GCGCGAUCUCGGCUGGGAGGGCGGUUCUCGCGAGCCUCCAGUCACGGCUGGUACCGCGAGACUCUUCUCUGUGCAGACCGCCAGAACCGAGUUGUGGAUCCGGCUUCCGGCGGUUGCUGUCUGUGACAGGCGUGUGGAAGAGCCAAGCUCUGUGGAAAAAACAGAGCAAACCUGGGAGGCCUGGUCCCUAUACUGGAAGAACAAUGAAAGCCAGGGAGAAUGAAUCUAGAGUGGUGAACAGAUGGAUGAGGGACAAAAUCAUGUCAGUUUCUCAAUCUUGAGGACUAGCUAAGGUGACUCUGCUCUUCACUCCUUCAAUAACCUCAAAGCUGGAUUGUUUUUGGUGACCAAUCCUAUUGCCACACCUGCAACAGCAGAUGAAAUUGGAACUCCUAUAAUGAAGAAAAAAAAAAUUGCGUGAAAUAUGUACAUCAACCUGGCACACAUUAUUUAUCAUUCUGUUGACAUUUAUUUUUAAUGUAAGUGGUUGGUGUUCUAAAUUGACAGUCACCAAAAUUAAGCUGGAUGAAAGGUCUUAAUAAAUUAUCUACCUCAAUUCUUCUUAAACAUACAACAAAAGUCCCUUAACAUAAUUCUAAGAGGUAGUCAUUGUUCUCAGCAAAAACCUCUCUGAUAAAAGUAGACCUAACUUGCAAUAAACCAUUUCUUUGCCUUUUGUUUUUGGCGCCUUUCUCCUUUUUUCUUUUUUUGAAAAGCAACCAUGUAUUUAGUAAAUCCUUCCAGCCUAAGCUCCUAAGUCCAUCUCCCUAUGACAGCUACUAUUAGGUUUUUUGGGUAUCCUAUCAGAAAAUUAUACCCAGAAAAUAUAAAUGAGUGUGAUCUUCAAUUUUCUUGAUCUUAUUCUUUUGAAUGGCUGCAGAGUACUCGCAGUAUUUGUGCUUAUAAGUGGGGUUUCUGAAUCAAAUGAUAUGUGAUUUACAUUUGUUAUAGUGUCAAACUGCCUUCCAAAGAGUUAGCAUUUUAUAUUUUAACC